UACGUAGGGGGCAAGCGUUGUCCGGAUUUAUUGGGCGUAAAGAGCGUGUAGGCGGCCAUGUAGGUCCGUUGUGAAAACUCGAGGCUCAACCUCGAGACGCCGAUGGAAACCAUGUGGCUAGAGUCCGGAAGAGGAGAGUGGAAUUCCUGGUGUAGCGGUGAAAUGCGCAGAUAUCAGGAAGAACACCCGUGGCUAAGGCGGCUCUCUAGUACGGUACUGACACUGAGACGCGAAAGCGUGGGGAGCGAACAGG
rnacentral:rRNA from 1 species